rnacentral:lncRNA from 1 species
UGAUAUGCGCAUGCAUUUUUACGACACUUGGUACAAUGCGAUGCUUCCUCUCUUGUAGCUUAAACAGACAAUCUUCUUUUGUUUGUCGUAUUUCACUGCAUACGUAGCUUUAAGUCCAUCACCAUCAGUAAGUAAGACCUUGCUAUCUUUCCCGUCAUGUUGUAUAACUGUCAAGUUUUUAGACCAUCCACCAACAACAAAUAUGUUCUGAU